UACGAAGGGGGCUAGCGUUGUUCGGAAUCACUGGGCGUAAAGGGCGCGUAGGCGGCUUUAUAAGUCGGGGGUGAAAGCCUGUGGCUCAACCACAGAAUUGCCUUCGAUACUGUAGAGCUUGAGACCGGAAGAGGUAAGUGGAACUGCGAGUGUAGAGGUGAAAUUCGUAGAUAUUCGCAAGAACACCAGUGGCGAAGGCGGCUUACUGGUCCGGUUCUGACGCUGAGGCGCGAAAGCGUGGGGAGCAAACCUG
rnacentral:rRNA from 1 species